AAAAGGUUGGCAUGGACUAUUUCAACGGUACUAGACCAAAUCCCACGUUAUUUUAACCUGUUUCUCCAUCGUUCUCUUCUUCUCCCAAGCCCUAAUUUUUCAACAUUUCAACUGAGCUAAAUUCUUCAUCAAGUAGUAAAAAUCGGAGCUUUUUUCCCUCAAUUUGAAAGAACUCCAUCAUCCUGCUAUCUUCUCUUAAUUUCUAGUUGAACAAUGUCCCAAAACACCGAAAGGGUUGGCUCUUGUCGAUGUGAGCGUCUGUGUGAACUAAAAAUUUCAUGGGUUCCAGUUAACCCAGGAAUAAAGUACUUUGUCUGCAAAAUUGACAAUGAGAAUGGCGGAUGUAAAUAUUUUAGAUGGUUUGAGGACGAGUUUCCUAAGCAAGUGAAUAGAGUUAUUUGGGGUUUGUUGAAGAGAGUGAAGGACUUUGAUCAAGAAAGAGAUCAAGCAAAAAAAAUGAAUAAACACACUAGUGUAUGUUGUUCUACUGAUGGCCUUAAUCAUAUGGCUUUGUUGUGGUUCUUGCUCUUAUUGAUGAGAACUGUUCUAUUUGGCUUUGGUCUGUUAUGAAUUUCUGAGAAAAUUGUUUGUAAUAUAGGUUAGCUAAUGUAGUUAGUGUAUUCUGUUGCUUCUGUUUUGUUGAUUCCUGCUAUACUUCGGAUGGUUGGGAUCCUAUUUUGUAUAAUUGACUGCCUUAAUACUGCAAUGUUUCUUUGUUUUUGUUAAAAAAUAUUGCAAUUCUUUAGUGUUUA